UCACUUGUUCUUUAAAUGAGGACUUGUAUCAACGGCACCACGAGGGUUAUACUGUCUCCUUUCUCUAAUCAGUGAAACUGAUCUCUCCGUGAAGAAGCGGGGAUACUCCUAUAAGACGAAAAGACCCCAUGGAGCUUCAAACCCAACUACACCCUUAACUACCACAACCGC
rnacentral:rRNA from 1 species